rnacentral:rRNA from 1 species
CACUCCUACGGGAGGCAGCAGUGGGGAAUUUUGGACAAUGGGCGAAAGCCUGAUCCAGCAAUGCCGCGUGUGUGAAGAAGGCCUUCGGGUUGUAAAGCACUUUUGUCCGGAAAGAAAUCCUUGGCUCUAAUACAGUCGGGGGAUGACGGUACCGGAAGAAUAAGCACCGGCUAACUACGUGCCAGCAGCCGCGGUAAUACGUAGGGUGCGAGCGUUAAUCGGAAUUACUGGGCGUAAAGCGUGCGCAGGCGGUUUGCUAAGACCGAUGUGAAAUCCCCGGGCUCAACCUGGGAACUGCAUUGGUGACUGGCAGGCUAGAGUAUGGCAGAGGGGGGUAGAAUUCCACGUGUAGCAGUGAAAUGCGUAGAGAUGUGGAGGAAUACCGAUGGCGAAGGCAGCCCCCUGGGCCAAUACUGACGCUCAUGCACGAAAGCGUGGGGAGCAAACAGGAUUAGAUACCCCGGUAGUCCCA